GGCUGGUCCGAUGGUAGUGGGUCAUUAGUUAACAUUAGUGUCACUAAAGGUGGUAUACCCCCCCCCACUGCUAAAUCUGACUGGCUUAAA
ensembl:misc_RNA Y_RNA Y RNA